rnacentral:rRNA from 1 species
GAUGCCUUGGCACUAGAAGCCGAUGAAGGACGUUACUAACGACGAUAUGCUUUGGGUAGCUGUAAGUAAGCGUUGAUCCAGAGAUUUCCGAAUGGGGGAACCCAGCAUGAGUUAUGUCAUGUUAUCGACAUGUGAAUUCAUAGCAUGUCAGAAGGCAGACCCGGAGAACUGAAACAUCUUAGUACCCGGAGGAAGAGAAAGAAAAAUCGAUUCCCUGAGUAGCGGCGAGCGAAACGGGAAGAGCCCAAACCAACAAGCUUGCUUGUUGGGGUUGUAGGACACUCUAUACGGAGUUACAAAAGAACAUGUUAGACGAAUCAUCUGGAAAGAUGAAUCAAAGAAGGUAAUAAUCCUGUAGUCGAAAACAUAUUCUCUCUUGAGUGGAUCCUGAGUACGACGGAGCACGUGAAAUUCCGUCGGAAUCUGGGAGGACCAUCUCCUAAGGCUAAAUACUCUCUAGUGACCGAUAGUGAACCAGUACCGUGAGGGAAAGGUGAAAAGUACCCCGGAAGGGGAGUGAAAGAGAACUUGAAACCGUGUGCUUACAAGUAGUCAGAGCCCGUUAAUGGGUGAUGGCGUGCCUUUUGUAGAAUGAACCGGCGAGUUACGAUCUGAUGCAAGGUUAAGCAGCAAAUGUGGAGCCGCAGCGAAAGCGAGUCUGAAUAGGGCGUUGAGUAUUUGGUCGUAGACCCGAAACCAGGUGAUCUACCCUUGGUCAGGUUGAAGUUCAGGUAACACUGAAUGGAGGACCGAACCGACUUACGUUGAAAAGUGAGCGGAUGAACUGAGGGUAGCGGAGAAAUUCCAAUCGAACUUGGAGAUAGCUGGUUCUCUCCGAAAUAGCUUUAGGGCUAGCCUCAAGUGAUGAUUAUUGGAGGUAGAGCACUGUUUGGACGAGGGGCCCCUCUCGGGUUACCGAAUUCAGACAAACUCCGAAUGCCAAUUAAUUUAACUUGGGAGUCAGAACAUGGGUGAUAAGGUCCGUGUUCGAAAGGGAAACAGCCCAGACCACCAGCUAAGGUCCCAAAAUAUAUGUUAAGUGGAAAAGGAUGUGGCGUUGCCCAGACAACUAGGAUGUUGGCUUAGAAGCAGCCAUCAUUUAAAGAGUGCGUAAUAGCUCACUAGUCGAGUGACACUGCGCCGAAAAUGUACCGGGGCUAAACAUAUUACCGAAGCUGUGGAUUGUCCUUUGGACAAUGGUAGGAGAGCGUUCUAAGGGCGUCGAAGCAUGAUCGCAAGGACAUGUGGAGCGCUUAGAAGUGAGAAUGCCGGUGUGAGUAGCGAAAGACGGGUGAGAAUCCCGUCCACCGAUUGACUAAGGUUUCCAGAGGAAGGCUCGUCCGCUCUGGGUUAGUCGGGUCCUAAGCUGAGGCCGACAGGCGUAGGCGAUGGAUAACAGGUUGAUAUUCCUGUACCACCUAGUAUCGUUUUAAUCGAUGGGGGGACGCAGUAGGAUAGGCGAAGCGUGCUGUUGGAGUGCACGUCCAAGCAGUAAGGCUGAGUGUUAGGCAAAUCCGGCACUCAUAAGGCUGAGCUGUGAUGGGGAGAGGAAAUUGUUUCCUCGAGUCGUUGAUUUCACACUGCCGAGAAAAGCCUCUAGAUAGAUAACAGGUGCCCGUACCGCAAACCGACACAGGUAGUCAAGAUGAGAAUUCUAAGGUGAGCGAG